AACGAACGCUGGCGGCAGGCUUAACACAUGCAAGUCGAACGCCCCGCAAGGGGAGUGGCAGACGGGUGAGUAACGCGUGGGAACGUACCUUUCGCUUCGGAAUAUUCCCGGGAAACUGGGAGCAAUGCCGAAUACGCCGUAUUGGGAAAGAUUUAUCGGCGAAAGAUCGGCCAGCGUUAGAUUAGGUAGUUGGCGGUGUAAUGGACCACCAAGCCUACGAUCUAUAGCUGGUCUGAGAGGAUGAUCAGCCACACUGGGACUGAGACACGGCCCAGACUCCUACGGGAGGCAGCAGUGGAGAAUCUUGGACAAUGGGCGCAAGCCUGAUCCAGCCAUGCCGCGUGAGUGAAGAAGGCCUUAGGGUUGUAAAACUCUUUCGCCGGUGAAGAUAAUGACGGUAACCGGAGAAGAAGCCCCGGCUAACCUCGUGCCAGCCGCCGCGGUAA
rnacentral:rRNA from 1 species